rnacentral:misc_RNA from 1 species
AAUUCAAAGCUUUCAUAACGACCACCGCAAGCAUGAAGAAAUGGAUUCUGAAAACGGUGAGUCGUUUCUUAUACAGCACGUGAAUCCAUAACCCAGUAAGACCAAUAUAAACGAGGGAAAACAAGAAAAAAACCCUAGGGAGAAUAGUCUUGCCGGCAGAGAGGUAAUCGCGGUUACCGUUCCUUUCGAGAUUGUACAUCGCUGAGUUGACGUCCAUGGAUACCUUAAUCGAAUUCAAGCAAUUAGCAAAAACAAGAGUAUACUGAUCGGCGUCGUUUUCAACGACGAAUACAGAGAAGUUGCUCCUGCCGUUUUCGAGAUUCUUGAAUGUGAAGACAUGUUUGAUGAGAUCCGACUGUAGAGCACAAGAGAUCUCGCUGUCCUCUAUCUGCUGGACCACGUGGAGCCAGGAGUCUCGGGUGCAGAGGAAGAAUCCGACCUUGGAAAGGUCGAGAUCAGGGUUUGGGUUAGAAAGCUGAAUGUCAGAGACGUUGAGCUCGAGUUGACC